AAGCCCAAUUUGCAUCGACGGAAAAUCUACUCCCUCUUGCCUCACGCCGCUGUUACUGUUCCACCACGGCGGCGCUCGUCCCUCAGGCGACGGCGAAGGCGCUUGUCGCUGUUGGAGUGGGGCGGUGUCUGUGUGUGUUCUGUUUGAGGUAAGAGAGAGAAAUAGAGCGUCUAGUUUGGUGUCGCAGGCUAGAGCUCCGGUUGGCUGCAGCCCUGGAUUAGGGGCCUAGCGAGAGCUGAGGGAGAUGACGCCGCAUGGAGCAGCGACGUCAACGUCUGGAUAUGAGGGUGGUCGCCUGUGGUGGUGGAUCGCCUAGAUCUGAGUAUAACACUUAUCUUAGGGACGGAGAGAUUCUUAUUUUAGGGACGGAGAGAGUAUUAUUAUUGACAUAUAUCAGGUACACGUGACUUGAUAUAUGCAACUCAUACGCAGGCUUGAAAUUGUAUGAAAACUUAUCUCAGGCAUGGGCUAAAAAUACAGCCUUCAAAUUAUACGAAAACUUAUCUCAAACAUGGGCUAAUAAUGAAUCCUUCUAAUGAUAUGAUUUAUUUAAGUAUGGGCUCUGGCAACAAAAACAUGUCAGAUAUAUAUAUGUAUAAUGAAUAUCUUCCGUUAAACGUGUUUCGUAAUUCAUGUAUAGCUAGUUAG
rnacentral:lncRNA from 1 species